GUCUCAACAGAUGCUGGAACGGAGAAGUCACGUUGGGCUUUGAAAGAGGAGAAGUUUCUGGUCCAUCCACGGUGGAUAGAGGCAUCAAACUACUUCUGGAAACGGCAAGCGGAAGAAAACUUUCCUGUUGAACAAACCAAGAAACAAUAACACAGUUUCUCUCUUUACAGUAGUUCCACAUUCCUCUUAAAUAGAGCUUGCAUUUGUUGGAGGGUUUACCUGCUGUGCCG
rnacentral:misc_RNA from 1 species